rnacentral:lncRNA from 1 species
GUCCCCCAGCAGCUUCUGCUCCAGCACAGCCAGGUGGGAGAACAACACGCUCCAGAUACUCCCAAGAUCAAAUGACCAUCAGUCUUGGGCUGUGGGGGGAAAGCAGGUGGUACAGAAAAGGCUUUAUUUGGAAACUUUAUUACAGUUUUUUGAAAAGGCUGGGCAGACGGCAAAGGUGAAGAUUUGUAAGUAAAAAAGGAAGUGUUGCUGCAAACUAAAGCAAGACGCAUAUGUCUUUCUUCUGUUCAUGUUCUUAUAAGUCAAGAGAUGGGCACAACCUGGUGGCUUUCCCUAGAUGCUGAGUGAGAAGCUCUGGGCAAAUUUUCUAAAUUACACUGAAGGAGACUGUAAAGUGAAACCUAAGGAUGCUUGUUUCUCAUUGCCACAAAGUACACUCCCUUCAGGUCACAGAGCCAGAGGAGGGCUCGCCAAGCUCAACAUGCCCCAAGCUCAAGGAUUCAUCUCUCUAUCGGCAAACCUGUUCUACUGCAUGAGCUUUCCUCUGUGGGGGUCUUAGGGAAUAACAGUACCUUUCCCCAUUUUGUGGGUUGAAUUGAAAGCUAAGAGAGAGGCCUGAAACAGAUCCUUCCUUAGUGCCUUCAGAAGGUGCAUGACUCUGCUGACACCUUGAUUUUAAACUUCUGGCCUCCAGAACUGUGAAACAAUAAAUGACUGUUGUUCUAAG